GGCUCAACCGGGGAGGGUCAUUGGAAACUGGGGAACUUGAGUGCAGAAGAGGAGAGUGGAAUUCCAUGUGUAGCGGUGAAAUGCGUAGAUAUAUGGAGGAACACCAGUGGCGAAGGCGGCUCUCUGGUCUGUAACUGACGCUGAGGCUCGAAAGCGUGGGGAGCAAACAGGAUUAGAUACC
rnacentral:rRNA from 1 species